rnacentral:rRNA from 1 species
UAAUACUCCAUAGUUCGUUAUUACUGGAAUGUUUUUCGAACGAAAGAUCCGUCGCUUCAGGAUGAGUCUGCGGCCGAUUAGGUAGUUGUUGGGGUAAUUGCCCAACAAGCCUGUAAUCGGUACGGGUUGUGGGAGCAAGAGCCCGGAGAUGGAUUCUGAGACACGAAUCCAGGCCCUACGGGGCGCAGCAGGCGCGAAAACUUUACCAUGCGGGCAACCGUGAUAAGGAAACCCCGAGUGCCAGCACAGGCUGGCUGUCCGCCAGUUUAAACAACUGGCGAAGAAAGGGCCGGGCAAGACCGGUGCCAGCCGCCGCGGUAAUACCGGCGGCUCGAGUGGUGGCCGCUAUUACUGGGCUUAAAGGGUCCGUAGCUUGAUAAUAGGGUCCCUUGAGAAAUCCGCCGGCUUAACUGGCGGGCGUUCAGGGGAAACUUGUUUUCUAGGGACCGGGAGAGGUGAGGGGUACUGCCGGGGUAGGAGUGAAAUCCUGUAAUCCCGGUGGGACCACCUAUGGCGAAGGCAUCUCACCAGAACGGGUCCGACAGUGAGGGACGAAAGCUGGGGGAGCAAACCGGAUUAGAUACCCGGGUUAUCCCAGCUGUAAACUAUGUGCGUUAGGUGUGU